rnacentral:rRNA from 1 species
GACGAACGCUGGCGGCGUGCUUAACACAUGCAAGUCGAGCGGUAAGGCCCUUUCGGGGGUACACGAGCGGCGAACGGGUGAGUAACACGUGGGUGACCUGCCCUCAGCUCUGGGAUAAGCCUGGGAAACCGGGUCUAAUACCGGAUAUGACUCCAUGACGCAUGUUGUGGGGUGGAAAGCCUUGUGCGGCUGAGGAUGGGCCCGCGGCCUAUCAGCUUGUUGGUGGGGUGAUGGCCUACCAAGGCGACGACGGGUAGCCGGCCUGAGAGGGCGACCGGCCACACUGGGACUGAGACACGGCCCAGACUCCUACGGGAGGCAGCAGUGGGGAAUCUUGCGCAAUGGGCGAAAGCCUGACGCAGCGACGCCGCGUGAGGGAUGACGGCCUGGUGU